CCGCUGUAGUUCAGUCGCUACAACGGCUGAAUGUAAAUCCGUAUGUCACUGGGCCGAGUCCAGUCAGAGGAGCCA
rnacentral:tRNA from 1 species